rnacentral:rRNA from 1 species
UACAGAGGGUGCGAGCGUUAAUCGGCAUUACUGGGCGUAAAGCGCGCGUAGGCGGCUUUGCAAGUCGGGUGUGAAAUCCCCAGGCUUAACCUGGGAACUGCAUUCGAGACUGCAUUGCUAGAGUAUGGGAGAGGGAAGUGGAAUUUCAGGUGUAGCGGUGAAAUGCGUAGAUAUCUGAAGGAACAUCAGUGGCGAAAGCGACUUCCUGGACCAAUACUGACGCUCAUGUGCGAAAGCGUGGGGAGCAAACAGG